UACGUAGGGGCCUAGCGUUGUCCGGAUUUAUUGGGCGUAAAGAGCUCGUAGGCGGUUCGGUAAGUCAGGUGUGAAAUCUCCGCGCUCAACGCGGAGGAGCCGCCUGAUACUGCCGUGACUUGAGUCCGGUAGGGGAGUGCGGAAUUCCUGGUGUAGCGGUGAAAUGCGCAGAUAUCAGGAGGAACACCAAUGGCGAAGGCAGCACUCUGGGCCGGUACUGACGCUGAGGAGCGAAAGCGUGGGGAGCAAACAGG
rnacentral:rRNA from 1 species